rnacentral:rRNA from 1 species
AGUCGAACGGCAGCACGGAAGAGCUUGCUCUUUUGGUGGCGAGUGGCGAACGGGUGAGUAAUGCAUCGGAACGUACCGAGUAGUGGGGGAUAACUGUCCGAAAGGAUGGCUAAUACCGCAUACGCUUUGAGAAGGAAAGCAGGGGAUCUUCGGACCUUGCGCUAUUCGAGCGGCCGAUGUCUGAUUAGCUGGUUGGUGGGGUAAAGGCCUACCAAGGCGACGAUCAGUAGCGGGUCUGAGAGGAUGAUCCGCCACACUGGGACUGAGACACGGCCCAGACUCCUACGGGAGGCAGCAGUGGGGAAUUUUGGACAAUGGGCGCAAGCCUGAUCCAGCCAUGCCGCGUGUCUGAAGAAGGCCUUCGGGUUGUAAAGGACUUUUGUCAGGGAAGAAAAGCUUUGGGUUAAUACCCUGGAGUGAUGACGGUACCUGAAGAAUAAGCACCGGCUAA